UGAAUCACUGUGAAACAUGUCGUCUGCCC
rnacentral:piRNA from 1 species